rnacentral:rRNA from 1 species
AUUACCGCGGCUGCUGGCACAGAGUUAGCCGUCCCUUCCUCUUCGGGUACUAUCAAUACACACGCAGUUAACGUAUGCACCUUGUUCCCCAAUGACAGGAGUUUACAAUCCGAAGACCUUCAUCCUCCACGCGGCGUCGCUCGAUCAGGGUUUCCCCCAUUGUCAAAAAUUCUCGACUGCUGCCUCCCGUAGG